rnacentral:rRNA from 1 species
CAGAGAUUACGGGGUGCAGCAGGCGCGAAAACUUUGCAAUGCGGGAAACCGUGACAAGGGAACUCUGAGUGCCCGUAAAAUCGGGCUGUCCAUCAGUUUAAAUAACUGGUGAAGAAAGGGCCGGGCAAGACCGGUGCCAGCCGCCGCGGUAAUACCGGCGGCUCGAGUGGUGGCCACUAUUACUGGGCUUAAAGCGUUCGUAGCUGGUUUGUUAAGUCUCUGGGGAAAUCUUCCGGCUUAACCGGAAGGCGUCUCAGGGAUACUGGCAGACUAGGGACCGGGAGAGGUGAGAGGUACUCCAGGGGUAGGAGUGAAAUCCUGUAAUCCCUGGGGGACCACCUGUGGCGAAGGCGUCUCACCAGAACGGCUCCGACAGUGAGGGACGAGAGCUGGGGGAGCAAACCGGAUUAGAUGCCCGGGUAGUCCCAGCUGUAAACGAUGCGCGUUAGGUGUAUCGGUGACCACGAGUCACCGAGGUGCCGAAGGGAAACCGUGGAACGUGCCGCCUGGGAAGUACGGU